UGUGAGUGUGUGUCAGUGUGUGUCUGUAAGUGUGUGAGUAUGUGUCUGUGAGUGUGUGUGUCAGUGAGUGUGUGAGUAUGUGUCAGUGUGUGAGUGUGUGUGUGUCAGUGUGUGUCAGUGUGUGUCUGUGAGUGUGUGAGUAUGUGUCUGUGAGUGUGUGAGUAUGUGUCUGUGAGUGUGUGAGUAUGUGUCAGUGUGUGUGUCAGUGUGUGUCUGUGAGUGUGUGUGUGAGU